rnacentral:lncRNA from 1 species
CUAAUCUUCAUCAUGACCAUGGAAUUCAUGAUCUUCUGUGUUUUCGAGGAUUAAAGAAGCUCGUUGUUCGAUAUUGUAACCUCUCAACUCUUUUCACAUGUUCUCUGGCUAAAACUAAUCUCCAACAGUUCGAAGAGUUGAGAGUACAUUUUGUGAGAAGAUGGAAGAAAUUGUGAGCGAUGAGAAAAUGGUUGCAACCGGAACAAAUGCACAUACUGAUGUUGCUGGUGAGAUUUUGUCUUGUGAUUUUCCUCGGCUGAAGAGAAUUCAUCUUUCGGAUAUACCAGUGCUCAAAAGUUUUUGCGGCAGUGCGAGAUAUACAUUUAAUAUGCCAUCGUUAGAAGAAGUUGUACUACGAAAGUGUCUCCUGAUGAUAAAUUUCACUUGCCGACAAUUAACCAUGCCAAAGUUGACAAUACAUGUUAACAAUUGGAAGGUUAUAGGAUGUACGGACCUCAACAAAUACUUGCAAACAUUAUUUGUGGACUGACCGGAAGGAGGUAUGUAAUGUAACUAACAAACAUGUGAUUGAAAUUAUUGAGCCAUAAUGGAGAGAUGGAGGUCCGGCGGUAGGGACACGAAGCCAGUCGGUAUUAUCCCACAAUGGCUAGAGAGGUAAAGAUCUGUGGACCGUGUGUGCGAUGCUUAAAGAAUUAAGUUAUUACCAAUAGUACAUUCAAGUCAUGACCUUUUGGGUGAGUCUGUGGUAUGCUAAGAUGAUCUAAGAAAAUAUUAUUGGGCCAGUGGUUUAAGUUUUUAUUUGGAUGGAUUUGAUUCAAUUCAGACUUAGGGUUUGACCCGAAAUUUGUUCGUAACCCGGGAUUUGACCCGGGUUGUUUCAAAAAGUGUCCCUUGAUGAUAAAUUUCAC